UACAAGAAAGAAGAAGAAGAAGAAAAUGAAGAUAAUGACGAAGAAGAAGAAAGAUAUGCUCU
rnacentral:sRNA from 1 species